rnacentral:tRNA from 2 species
CCGCCCAUAGCUCAAUUGGCAGAGCAGGUCCCUCUUAAGGACAAGGUUCCAGGUUCGAGGCCUGGUGGGCGGA